AUUGAACGCUGGCGGCAUGCCUUACACAUGCAAGUCGAACGGCAGCACGGGAGCAAUCCUGGUGGCGAGUGGCGAACGGGUGCGUAAUAUAUCGGAACGUGCCCAGUAGUGGGGGAUAACUGCUCGAAAGAGCAGCUAAUACCGCAUACGACCUGAGGGGGAAAGGGGGGGAUCGCAAGACCUCUCGCUAUUGGAGCGGCCGAUAUCAGAUUAGCUAGUUGGUGGGGUAAAGGCCUACCAAGGCAACGAUCUGUAGUUGGUCUGAGAGGACGACCAGCCACACUGGGACUGAGACACGGCCCAGACUCCUACGGGAGGCAGCAGUGGGGAAUUUUGGACAAUGGGCGCAAGCCUGAUCCAGCAAUGCCGCGUGCAGGAAGAAGGCCUUCGGGUUGUAAACUGCUUUUGUCAGGGAAGAAAUCCUCUAGGUUAAUACCCUUGGGGGGAUGACGGUACCUGAAGAAUAAGCACCGGCUAACUACGUGCCAGCCGCCGCAGUAAGAC
rnacentral:rRNA from 1 species